AGCUUAACGGAGACCUUGCACCCGAGAGGGGGGAGGCGACUAUAAACAAGCUUCCAGCGCAAGUCAGCGUAGCUGGCAACACAAUCGAAUUGCGGGGACGCUUUAAAGCCCACCGGUACCAACGGCCCCUCUAAGGGGCCGGGCGAGCACGGCUCGAGGUCACAACCCGGCGGGAUGGAACAAUAAGCAAUCCGCAGCGGCGUGAGCCGUCCACAGACUAAGUGGUUGUGGGUAGGAGAACCCUAUCUAAGAUAUAGUCGGGCCUGAGGAGAGAUCCCCGGGGCUUCUGCGUCCGUAGGUGAACCUGCGGAAGGAUCAUUAAUAAGGAUACCGGGCAACCGGUAACCCCACCCGUGUCUAUCUACUCUUGUUGCUUUGGCAGGCCGUGGUCUCCACGGCGGGCUCUGCCCGCCUGCGCCUGCCAGAGGACCAAACUCUGAAUUUUAGUGAUGUCUGAGUACUAUAUAAUAGUUAAAACUUUCAACAACGGAUCUCUUGGUUCUGGCAUCGAUGAAGAACGCAGCGAAAUGCGAUAAGUAAUGUGAAUUGCAGAAUUCAGUGAAUCAUCGAAUCUUUGAACGCACAUUGCGCCCGGUGGUAUUCCGCCGGGCAUGCCUGUUCGAGCGUCAUUAUAACCACUCAAGCCUGGCUUGGUAUUGGGGUACGCGGUCCCGCGGCCCCUAAAAUCAGUGGCGGUGCCGGUUGGCUCUAAGCGUAGUAAUACUCCUCGCUAUAGACCCCUCCCGGUUCCCUGCCAGAACCCCCCAUU
rnacentral:rRNA from 1 species